CUAGUUUCUUUGCUUUUUCAAUCGGCUCCAACUCCAUGCUCCGUUGUUCUCCCUGUCCUAUUGUGUCCUGCACUUGGGGCCCUUCCGAGCGCCGAAGCUGAUGGGACACUCCUCUUCUCGAAAACAAACACUUCUUCCUCCCCCACGCCAGUUUUCAGGCAGCUGCAGGUUAUUCCAAAAUACCAGCUCACAUAUGUAUCCUCCAGGAUACAUUUGAUCCGCUGGUUUAUACAUGUUGUUAGUCUUAAUGGCCCUCUGCAAUGUGGGUUAGCAUGGGCCUGGGACACUGCAGUUUCUCCAAACAUGGAAAAGCGAAUUUAGGGCUAGCGACAAACUUGGGAGAGCUGAGGAAUGACUCUGAAUUCUUCAGUGGGGCGAGCCAGACAGAGAGAAUGAAGAAAGAACGACUACUAUAAGAAAACCCAGUGCAGUUUUAAGACAGCUAGUGGCUGCAAGGUCUGUUAGGAUGACAGCCUGUAACCAUACACUAGCUACAACCGGCUCUCAGUUAUCAAGGAUAAUGCAGAGGGAAGAAAAAGGGAAGUGCAGUGGGGAGGGAACGACCCAGAUAAACCAAAACUGCAAAUAAUAUAAAACAGAUGUAAACUAAACUACAGAAAAUAUAGUUAGAGCAUUCCUCUUUGAAAAACUUCUCAAAAGGGGCAGGAGGAGCUUUAGGCAGUGGUGGUAAGAAACGAGCCUGGCGCAGGCAGCAGAUUUCUGAGACUUGUGCUCUGUGAUGCUGUGUGGGAGGCAUGGAUAUUCAUGGGAAGUGGCACCACAGCUAAUCCACCCACAUGGAUGCAGAUUUUCCCUGUCUUCAGCACGCUCCUAGCAGGCAGAAGAAGAGAAGCAACACAAUCAACUGAACCAGAAGUCCUCUUGGGUAACCAACUGUGGUGCCAGUGCUGAGGAACUCCAGAGGGAUCUCACAAAAGUGAUUCUGCCCACUCUUGUGAGACCCCACCUGGAGUAUUGUGUCCAGUUCUGGAAUCCCCAACACAAGGAUAC